AACUGUUACAAACUUCCAUCUCUGAGGGCAGAUACAGAUUUUCAACUACCCAAGUAAAUGACCAUAUCAGAUACAGAUACGAUAAUUUGCUUAAGCCCACUUCCAACUAGCCAAACCAUGGUACGAUCUAUGACCAUGGUCGUACUAACCAUAAUGGUCCUAACAGAUAUCUAUAAUCACGACAUUACUUAGCCAUGAGUGACCCCUACAGAUAGUGCGAUACCACUCUCGUCAGAGGGCACACCGUCAUCCACUAGGAGCAGUCUUUUUACGUCUUUCCAGACAAGAUAGGGAAGGGGAAAUAGAUACCCUGAAG
rnacentral:lncRNA from 1 species